ACACCUUCACGCGUGCUUACAAUUAAGCAGUCAAUGGAUUAUCAGAAUGGCUGCCGCCUUAGAGUUAAGAUAAUUUUCAGAAACGCGGCGUCACUUAAAAACUUCCUCUGAAUGUUUCUUGAGAUUUACAGCAGAUCAGUCACAUUUCGCUAAUGGGUCACAGAACUACUAAUACAUUACCUUAGUGAUAUGCAUUUUAUCUUUUCUCAUCAAACCAAAGCAGGGGUAGUUAACCUGUCAAACUAUUCAAAUAAGAGGGGAACAUGACAACUAAACAAAUGUAAUUUAGAUAAAGGUGCAAUGAAAACGCCGAAAUAAUGACCUCGGCAGGUGUAGAGUCAAUUCUCCUGACAAGAAGGCCAAAUGGAAUUGUUAAUGUUCAUCUCCACACAAGCUGCCGUGUUGAUCGGUCGCGAUUCAAUUCAAGCUGUCCAGAGUGGUUAAUAAAGAGCGCCUCAAAAUGUUACCAAACACAUUUCUCGUUGCUCUAUUUGCUUCAGUGGUGCUUGGUGCUAGCGGCCUUCCAUUUCACUUAAAAGUACUAUCACAAGAUACAGCAAACAAGGGAACACUGAUAGAAGAUUCUGAACUAUCCGGCUGUCCUGACCCAAGGGAUCUUUCUCAUUGCCUGUUUGAGGCUCUUUAUAAUGACGGAUGUCAAAGACCAGAAGAGAUGAAAAUUAUAUGCAACGAAUUCUGCAGUACACCUUGUUGAAUUUGUUAGAUUACUGUAAUGAAACGACAAUAAAGGGAUAUCGGAUAGGAUAAACACCAAGCUGACUAAAAGUUGAAGUUAACGCUAAAAACAUAUUUCCUACGAGUAGCAUGACCGUUGAAGCUUAACAAAAGACAGAUCGAGAGUCCAAAGAGCCAUGGCCAUUCCAUACCUUUUGUAGGAAUUGUUCGAGCCGUCAGAACUGCGAGAUG